rnacentral:rRNA from 1 species
AACGAACGCUGGCGGCAGGCUUAACACAUGCAAGUCGAACGCCCCGCAAGGGGAGUGGCAGACGGGUGAGUAACGCGUGGGAACGUGCCCUUCGCUUCGGAAUAGCCCCGGGAAACUGGGAGUAAUACCGAAUACGCCGUAUUGGGAAAGAUUUAUCGGCGAAGGAUCGGCCCGCGUUAGAUUAGCUAGUUGGCGGUGUAAUGGACCACCAAGGGUACGAUCUAUAGCUGGUCUGAGAGGAUGAUCAGCCACACUGGGAAUGGGACACGGCCCAGACUCCUACGGGCGGCAGCAGUGGGGAAUCUUGGACAAUGGGCGCAAGCCUGAUCCAGCCAUGCCGCGUGAGUGAAGAAGGCCUUAGGGUUGUAAAACUCUUUCGCCGGAGAAGAUAAUGACGGUAUCCGGAGAAGAAGCCCCGGCUAACUUCGUGCCAGCAGCCGCAGUAAAAC